rnacentral:rRNA from 1 species
AUGGAGGCUCCACACCUUCCCUUUUCUUGCAAAUUUAAUGAUAAUGAAACCUUAGCUUCUUAUGCUAAUGGUUUAUAUGAUAACUAUGAUGUGGAACAAAUAGAAGAAUUUGUUGCUUUUAAGGCUGCUUAUGAAAUUGAAGCUUUGUUUGAAAAGUAUGAAGCUUUUGAUGAUGAUGGUUAUAGGCCUGAAAAUCUUGCUAUACUUAUAUAUUGCUAUGAAAAUUAUGAAUACAACUACUAUAUUUAUUCUUUUAUGAAGAAAGUCUCCGCUGUCCAAGAAGAGAUUAAUAUUUUGCAGGAAGCUAUGGAAGAAGAAAUUGAUGAAACAUUGAUCUCAUUGGAUGAAAAAGAUGAAGAGGGGAGCGAAGAACAAAAGGAGGAAGAGCGGAUUAGCUACACGUGCCCACCUUCUAAUGAGAGUAACUCUUCAACUCAUACAUUGUUUAAUUCCCCUUCAUGCUUACCGAAGGAUGAUUGCUAUGGUCCCUUGAAUUUGUUUGAAAUAUCCCUUUUUGAUGAUGCUUGCUAUGCUUGUGGCCAGGAUGCCAAUAUGAAUUAUGCUUAUGGAGAUGAACUUGCUAUAGUUCCUUAUGUUAAACAUGAAAUUGUUGCUAUUGCACCCACGCAUGAUAGUCCCAUUAUCUUUUUCAAUUCUCCCAACUACAGUAUAUCAAAGAAGUUUGUGCUUAUUAAGGAUUAUAUUGAUGGGUUGGCUUUUACCAUUUCAAAUGAUGAUUUUGAUAGAUAUAAUAUGCACGUGCUUGCUGCUCCUACUUGCAAUUAUUAUGAGAGAGGAACUACAUCUCCGCCUCUUUAUGUUUCCAACACGAUAGAAUUGCAAGAAACUGCUUAUACUAUGCAUUGGCCUUUACUUGGUGUGCAUGAAUUGUUCUUUUAUGGCAUGCCGAUGCAUAAGAAGAGAGUUUGA